CCAGUGCAAACAAACAGAAAGAACCUGCCCCAGGGAGGCACCCAUGAAUGGAGGAGCAACACCUCCUGUUUCCCUAAAACCAGACGGGUGGGGGAAGAGGGGCAGCAGCCUGCUGGCUCCUCCCUCCAGCCUGAGAACCUUCUGCCCCGAACAAGACUGAACGGGUGUCUCUCUGACUCUGAUUCCCUGAGCGACUUCCUGCUGAGGGAGUCACUUCCUGCCCAAUUAGCUAAAAACAACUUCAGAAAGCUUCUGGAAAGUGACCUAACUGGUCUGGCCAGAUUCUCCUCCUUUCCAGGAAGCACGUGUUCCCAUUCAUUCAUUCGUUAAACACGCAUCCUGCAUCUGCUCUAUGCUGAGCACUGGAGAGAUGGGAGAAAGGAGAACCAGCUCCCGCCCUCCAGGAGAAGAGGCAGACACACACUGUUAACUUUGACAGGUGUACUGGGUGUGGCCAUCGGGGGCACACAGAGGAGCCACGGAACACAGACAGGACCACUGGUCAUCAGGGGAGGGGACGCUGGUGAGGACCAGGAGAGCAUCACACAAGGUCAAGCAAGGAGCAAAGGCCGGAGCAGGCAGAUUUGAGGCUGGAACACAGGAAGCUGUGGAUGAGGAAACAGGGACCCAGAGAGGUUGAGUCCCCUGCCCAAAGGCCCAGAGCCAGGAAGAAGUGGAGUGUUGAGCACAGAGACGGGCACGCAACGAGCACUUACUCAACGGGCUCCAUGACGAUGAUAAGAGGCCAGCCAAGACACGGACAGUGCGAACGGACAGGACACUGAACAAGAACGCUCACACUGCAGUGCACACACUGCAUAACCCAUCGAUUGUCACCAGCCCCCAGAAAAGGGGUGUAACCACCCACCUACUAGGACCAGUUCAACUGCCCACAUCUUAUCAACAGAGUAAUUAGGAGUGGUUUUUAGGAUCUGAGAGUCCUCCCUUGUCCACUUCAGGCCGGUUGAGACCACCAACCCCUCAACUGGGCCUGUACAAAUGCCCGAUAAGUGGCCCUUUGAUGUCAAGGAGCUGAAAACUCCACCCUCAGAUCAUGGUGAGGCCGCCAUUUUGUGGACAUCCAUCCUGUGAAGAGCUGUGAAGCCUGACUCUGCGCGCGCAGAUCAUGAUCACCUCUCUCCUCACCUCCAGUCAUGUCUCCACACUUCAGCCCGCCCUACCCUUCAUCCCAUAAAUUCUGCCCCAAGCCCUGGGUCAGGAGACAGAUCUGAGAGUGCUGCUGCCUGCCUCCCUGCAGGUCGGUCUCACACUAAAGCUGUGGUCUUUUCUCAAAAGCUGAUGCUGCCAUAAUCGGCACUUUAUGAAUAUCGGGUGAGAGAACCCCAACUUUGUGCUGCAAUAGGGUUUCUACAGUUUCUACACAUUCUAAGGAUGGUGAUGACGACCCAGAUUCCCAGAUCAGUAGAACGCGGCCUGGCGAUUCAGGACUUUAUAGUCCCAGAACAUUAACCCUCCUCCUGAUCUUGCCAGAAACACCGACAACUGGUGACACGGUCAGUGAAUUUGCUUCCAACAUCUGGUGGUUUGACUGUGUGGGGGCCCCCUACCACUCCUGUCACACAAGAGACCAGAAUAGGGCUCAGUAUGAAAAUGCACAUGCAACUGGGCCUGGCUGAGCACACCACACAGAACAUCUUGGAAUCCCAGGAUGGCCCUUUGUGUUACAAUCUUCACACAAGGGUUCACAUACUUAUGUCCAAUAUCAAGAAUGCUCCAAGGUAGAUGUUGUCACCUCCACUUUAGACUAGAGAAAAACAAGCUCAGAGAGGCUAAGCAAGCAG
rnacentral:lncRNA from 1 species